rnacentral:rRNA from 1 species
UGGAAUGGUUUCCCUCUCAAAGGAUGUGGAACCAUGCUUCCAACAUCGCCCGAGGAUGGGGCUGCGGCCGAUCAGGUAGUUGGUGAGGUAACGGCUCACCAAGCCUUUAACCGGUACGGGCCGUGAGAGCGGGAGCCCGGAGAUGGGCACUGAGACAAGGACCUAGGCCCUACGGGGCGCAGCAGUCGCGAAAACUCCGCAAUGCGCGCAAGCGCGACGGGGCUACCCCGAGUGCCGUCCGCUGAGGAUGGCUUUUCUCUGGUGUAAUGAGCCGGAGGAAUAAGGGGAGGGCAAGCCUGGUGUCAGCCGCCGCGGUAAUACCAGCUCCUCGAGUGGUGGGGAUGAUUAUUGGGCCUAAAGCGUCCGUAGCCGGCUCGGUAAGUCCUCCGUUAAAUCCAACGAUCUAAUCGUUGGGCUGCGGGGGAUACUGCAGGGCUAGGGGGCGGGAGAAGCCGACGGUACUCUUGGGGUAGGGGUGAAAUCCUAUAAUCCCAGGAGGACAACCAGUGGCGAAGGCGGUCGGCUAGAACGCGCCCGACGGUGAGGGACGAAAGCGUGGGGAGCGAUCCGGAUUAGAUACCC